UGGGGAAUUUUGGACAAUGGGCGCAAGCCUGAUCCAGCCAUGCCGCGUGCGGGAAGAAGGCCUUCGGGUUGUAAACCGCUUUUGUCAGGGAAGAAAUCUUCUGAGUUAAUACCUCGGGAGGAUGACGGUACCUGAAGAAUAAGCACCGGCUAACUACGUGCCAGCAGCCGCGGUAAUACGUAGGGUGCAAGCGUUAAUCGGAAUUACUGGGCGUAAAGCGUGCACAGGCGGUUUUGUAAGACAGAGGUGAAAUCCCCGGGCUCAACCUGGGAACUGCCUUUGUGACUGCAAGGCUUGAGUGCGGCAGAGGGGGAUGGAAUUCCGCGUGUAGCAGUGAAAUGCGUAGAUAUGCGGAGGAACACCGAUGGCGAAGGCAAUCCCCUGGGCCUGCACUGACGCUCAUGCACGAAAGCGUGGGGAGCAAACAGGAUUAGAUACCCUGGUAGUCCACGCCCUAAACGAUGUCAACUGGUUGUUGGGAAGGUUCCUUCUCAGUAACGUAGCUAACGCGUGAAGCUGACCGCCUGGGGAGUACGGCCGCAAGGUUGAAACUUAAAUGAAUUGACGGGGUCAUAGCUGUUUCCU
rnacentral:rRNA from 1 species